AGUCAGAGAGAAGGAGGGAAGAGAGGAAACAGCUCCUCUCCUGUUAAAGGAUGUCAAGUCUUCAGCUGAGAGCUGUUGAGGAGCACUGAUCCAUCCUUCCUGCUCGUCCAGAUGAAUCUCACCACUGCGACUCCACAGCCUCGGCACAGCCUUGUAGGUGGAGGAGACGAGGAGCUGCUCUGUGCCAUGAAGACGAAGGUGAAAGUGUUCUCCUGCCCCAGGCUGAGUGGAGUGCACUGCAUACAAAGGUAAACUGAUGUUCAUAUUCUACAGACUGACACCGACUGGAGUGGAACAUGCCACGAGGACCAUUCAGCUCUACCAUAGGGCCCCGCAAAAUCCUUUGGAAGAAGUUGUUUCAGUGACCAACAUGUCAGCAAUUAGCACAUUAACAGGUCACAAGAUGUGCUGGGCUCACCCUCCAUGAAUCCCAAGAAUCCCAUCAUGCCCUAGGAGUUUAAAAGCUCCAAACCAGCUCGAACUCAACCUCACAUGACUCCAGUUCCCAUCACCAACUUGACUCCAGUCCCUUGUUGUUCAGUCCUGCUGUUUCCACCCAGCGGUUUAGUUGUGACAGUGGCUUCCAAUGAGAAUCCAGUUGGCCUUCCCUCUCUUGUACCCCUUAUUAACGUUGGCCCCCAUGUCAGAGCCCUGGGCCGCAGAGGGGAAGGCUCACAUGGUGUCUCUGCUGUACGGAGAGCCAGGUCUGAUCCCAGCCAUGAGGAGCCCACAGGCGGAGAGCCCUGUUUAAAAUUCCGCUCUGCAACGUGUCGGCUUUCCAAUCCACCGGGAUUGCAUUAUUAAACUUACACAAGCUCAUUUCCAUACAAAGCAGGAUAUCAGCGGCAGACAGUCAUGCAUAUUUAUCGCCGUGUGCCUGGCUUACGCACGAAUACACUCGCACAAUAACCCGCACGCAGGCAUAACUUAGUCGUGGUACAUAAGUGAAGGAGGAAACCGAGGUGCAUUCCUAAUGGUUAGAGCAUGAGAUGUCCUGAGUGAGGAUGGUCAGUGAAAUCUACAUGUCAAUCACCUGAUAAACUGACACAUAAACAAGCAGUUUCUCACACACAAACAGGGGAGCUGAGAUGAGUUACACUUUGAGAUCUGACGAGAAGUGUAUUACUGAUAAUCUACACGCAGAGUCAUGCAGACACGGUCCAGCCAAGCCUCCACCUGUCCAUGUUGACUGUUCCCUGCUAGUAGCUAGUUCCCUUAAUGUCCCUGUCUCUGUGUCUCCCCCCGUCCCUACGUCCCUGCUGCCCCACUGUUCUUCUCCUCCUCCACUAGUUUCCGAGCACCGGUUUCUCCUCUCCUCCUCCUCCUCCCCCUCUUUUCUUCCUUGCCCUCCUUCAGGUGAUGUCCGUCCCUCCUCCUCCUCCUCCUGUGAGAUUGCUGCUGUGUCUUAUGGCUUUUUAUUCCUACGUGAGGGUAGAUGUGUUCAUGUAGGGAUAGAAGCCACUAAACACACAGUGAGAGGUCAACGUGCAGGCCAGUAGAGCCAAAGCUUCCUUUUCCACACAGAGCAAAUAGCCUGCGGUGACGUUACAGUGGAGUUUACUGUCUAACUCUAGGCCUACAUGCACCCGUUAAGUUACUUUUAAACGGGCCUCCCGGAUGGCGCAGUGGUCUAAGGCUGUGCCACCAGAGAUUCUGGGUUCGAGCCCAGGCUCUGUCGCAGCUGGACGCGACCGGGAGGUCCAUGGGGCGACGUACAAUUGGCCCAGCGUUGUCCGGGUUAGGGAGGGUUUGGCCGGCAGGGAUAUCCUUGUCUCAUCAUGCACUUGUGACUCCUGUGGCGGGCCGGUCGCAGUGCACGCUGACCAGGUCGCCAGGUGUACGGUGUUUCCUCCGACACAUUGGUGCGGCUGCCUUCCAGGUUGGAUGUGCAUUGUGUCAAGAAGCAGUGCGGCUUGGUUGGGUUGUGUUUCGGAGGACGCAUGGCUCUUGACCUUCGCCUCUCCCUAGUCCGUAAGGGAGUUGCAGCGAUGACACAAGACUGUAACUACUACCAAUUGGAUACCACGAAAUUGGGGAGAAAAAAACGACUUUUAAACAGAAAUGUCAAACACAUAGGCCUAAACAGAAUGGCAACUCUCAAAGACCCACCAACAAAGGCCCAGUACUGAAGGCUGUAACAAAGCCAAAGAAAGUCCUAGGAUAUAGUCCAAAACCACUCUGUAAUUCACUGGUUAUCAAACAACCUUGUUCAAGAAAUCCUUAAGAAAAGGGAAGCCCUGUUCUGCUAACAAAUGGAUGGAAUACUUCAAGCAAAGGUAGGUCCACUACAUCCAUCUAAACUGAGGUGAGUUUCGUCCAGGUUCCCAACCCCAAAUAGGAUGAACAUUAGAAUACUGAGAUGAAUCAUUGUAAAGUGUGAAAUGUUAUUCUAUGUGCUUCAUAAAACCUACUUCUAGCUGCCAUCAUAGCUGAAGUGUAAUAAUUCAACACCCUCACUAAUGUACAUGAAUGUUCACACUAUAAAUCUACAUCACAACACAUGAUAGGAGCAUCAAUUAUUGACAGUGUUUUCUAUAGACCUCCAAGCUUUCAGGGAGAAUGUGUUGGAAUAGAUUACUGCCAAUGGAUUCACUGCCUGAGGCUGCGUGUGCCUGUCUGUUUUCCUGAGUUGAGUUGAUGCAUUAAUAUGAAGUCUUUGUAUGUAUAUACAUGCAUCUCUGUCUUUUAAGAAUCUAUCUCCUGGCAGAUUUUCCUGUAAUAAAUAAUGCUCUUUUGUGUUUUGUGUUGUUGCCGUUCUUCAUUUGUUUUCAUAUUUUCAAUGGUGCGAAUUGAUUAAUAAAUUAUGCAUUCAGCCAACCUUC